UUUCGGUUAAUCUGUACGCUCACGUACAGGCUGCCGGGAAUACUGCAAAGCUAGGGAGUGGGAGAGGUAGACGGUACUCGGUAGGAAGGGGUAAAAUCCUUUGAUCUAUUGAUGACCACCUGUGGCGAAGGCGGUCUACCAGAACACGUCCGACGGUGAGGGAUGAAAGCUGGUGGAGCAAACCGGAUUAGAUACCCGGGUAGUCCCAGCUGUAAACCAUGCAAACUCAGUGAUGCAUUGGCUUGUGGCCAAUGCAGUGCUGCAGGGAAGCCGUUAAGUUUGCCGCCUGGGAAGUACGUACGCAAGUAUGAAACUUAAAGGAAUUGGCGGGGGAGCACCACAAGGGGUGAAGCCUGCGGUUCAAUUGGAGUCAACGCCAGAAAUCUUACCCGGAGAGACAGCAGAAUGAAGGUCAAGCUGAAGACUUUACCAGACAAGCUGAGAGGUGGUGCAUGGCCGUCGCCAGCUCGUGCCGCGAGAUGUCCUGUUAAGUCAGGUAACGAGCGAGAUCCCUGCCUCUAGUUGCCACCAUUACUCUCAGGAGUAGUGGGGCGAAUUAGCGGGACCGCCGCAGUUAAUGCGGAGGAAGGAAUGGGCCACGGCAGGUCAGUAUGCCCCGAAACUCUGGGGCCACACGCGGGCUGCAAUGGUAACGACAAUUGGUUUCGAAUCCGAAAGGAUGAGGUAAUCCUCAAACAUUACCACAGUUAUGACUGAGGGCUGCAACUCGCCCUCACGAAUAUGGACUCCCUAGUAACUGCGUGUCAUUAUCGCGCGGUGAAUACCUCCCUGCUCCUUGCAC
rnacentral:rRNA from 1 species